rnacentral:lncRNA from 1 species
GAGCGUCGAGGAUGUUCUAGAUGGUGAUGACACAACAAUACAGAGUUCCAGAUUAGAAUCACUGAGCGUCGAGGAUGUUCUAGAUGGUGAUGACACAACAAUACAGAGUUAGAUCAUUUUGACGUGCGGAGCAACUUCAACAUUUUGUUUGUUUGUUGGAGAAGGUGGUUUGAGCUUUCUAAUUGGGCAGUUAAAGCUUGUCUGUUAAAACACGUUAUGUUAGUGAUUCCUUUACGUUGGCAGUUACCUGUAUGUAGGCCAGUACAACAACAACAAAAAUGUAUGAGAUGUAUGCAUUCACUACUGUAAGUCGCUCUGGAUAAGAGCGUCUGCUAAAAUGACUCAAAUGUAAAAUGUAGGUCUAUUGUAGCUCGGGGUUUUCUGUCUCUCCAACCCCUCUUCAUGGCGCCGACCCUCCGGGUUUGGAGAGGGUCCAUUUCGUCUCCCCAAAGGUCAAAGUUCAGACCCUUGUUUAGCCUAGGUUCUGUCAAAAUCAAAUCAAAAUACAAUAAAAUAAAAAUGUUAUUGGUCGUGUACACGUGUUUAGCAGAUGUUAUUGCCGGUGUAAUAUCUAACAAUUACACAACAAUACACGAGUAGCCUGGUGGUUAGAGUAGGCAGGUAGCCUAGUUGUUAGAGGAAACAAGUAGUCUAGUGGUUAGAGGAGGCGGGUAGCCUAGUGGUUAGAGGAGGAGGCAGGUAGCCUAGUGGUUAGAGGAGGCAGGUAGCCUAGUGGUUAGAGGAGGCAGGUAGCCUAGUGGUUAGAGGAGGCGGGUAGCCUAGUGGUUAGAGGAGGCAGGUAGCCUAGUGGUUAGAGGAGGCAGGUAGCCUAGUGGUUAGAGGAGGCAGGUAGCCUAGUGGUUAGAGGAGGCAGGUAGCCUAGUGGUUAGAGGAGGCAGGUAGCCUAGUGGUUAGAGGAGGCAGGUAGCCUAGUGGUUAGAGUGUUGGCC